UUGCCUCGGCAGGUCGCACCUACCUUGUAGCACCCUACCCUGUAGGGCCUACCCGGGAGGUGCGGGUAAGCCUGCCGGCGGCCCACCAAACUCUGUUUGAUAUUGAAUUCUGAACCUAUAACUAAAUAAGUUAAAACUUUCAACAACGGAUCUCUUGGUUCUGGCAUCGAUGAAGAACGCAGCGAAAUGCGAUAAGUAAUGUGAAUUGCAGAAUUCAGUGAAUCAUCGAAUCUUUGAACGCAUAUUGCGCCCAUUAGUAUUCUAGUGGGCAGGACCGUUCGAGCGUCAUUUCAACCCUUAAGCCUUCGUUGCUUAGUGUUGGGAGCCUACGGCAACGUAGCUCCUCAAAGUUAGUGGCGGAGUUAGUUCACACUCUAGACGUAGUAAUUUUUUAUCUCGCCUAUUAGUUGGACUAGUCCCCUGCCGUAAAACCCCCAAUUUAUCAAGGUUGACCUCGAAUCGGUUCAGACAAACUCGCUAAAUUGAAGCAUCUUAGUCAGCGAAGGAAAAGAAACCAACAGGGAUUGCCCUAGUAACGGCGAGUGAAGCGGCAACAGCUCAAAUUUGAAAUCUGGCCCUCGGGUCCGAGUUGUAAUUUGUAGAGGAUGCUUUUGG
rnacentral:rRNA from 1 species